GAGUUUGAUCCUGGCUCAGAUUGAACGCUGGCGGCAGGCCUAACACAUGCAAGUCGAGCGGAAACGAGUUAACUGAACCUUCGGGGAACGUUAACGGCGUCGAGCGGCGGACGGGUGAGUAAUGCCUGGGAAAUUGCCCUGAUGUGGGGGAUAACCAUUGGAAACGAUGGCUAAUACCGCAUAAUAGCUUCGGCUCAAAGAGGGGGACCUUCGGGCCUCUCGCGUCAGGAUAUGCCCAGGUGGGAUUAGCUAGUUGGUGAGGUAAUGGCCCACCAAGGCGACGAUCCCUAGCUGGUCUGAGAGGAUGAUCAGCCACACUGGAACUGAGACACGGUCCAGACUCCUACGGGAGGCAGCAGUGGGGAAUAUUGCACAAUGGGCGCAAGCCUGAUGCAGCCAUGCCGCGUGUAUGAAGAAGGCCUUCGGGUUGUAAAGUACUUUCAGCAGUGAGGAAGGUGGGUAUGUUAAUAGCAUACUCAUUUGACGUUAGCUGCAGAAGAAGCACCGGCUAACUCCGUGCCAGCAGCCGCGGUAAUACGGAGGGUGCGAGCGUUAAUCGGAAUUACUGGGCGUAAAGCGCAUGCAGGUGGUUUGUUAAGUCAGAUGUGAAAGCCCGGGGCUCAACCUCGGAAUUGCAUUUGAAACUGGGCGAACUANAGUACUGUAGAGGGGGGGCAGAAUUUCCAC
rnacentral:rRNA from 1 species